GAUGAACGCUAGCUACAGGCUUAACACAUGCAAGUCGAGGGGUAACGAGAGGAAAGCUUGCUUUCCUUGUCGACGACCGGCGCACGGGUGAGUAACGCGUAUCCAACCUGCCCCCAACUAGGGAAUAACCUUGCGAAAGUAAGACUAAUACCCUAUAAUUUCCUCAGAUGUCAUCUGACGAGGAAUAAAGAUUUAUCGGUUGUGGAUGGGAUGCGUCUGAUUAGCUUGUUGGCGGGGUAACGGCCCACCAAGGCAACGAUCAGUAGGGGUUCUGAGAGCAAGGUCCCCCACAUUGGAACUGAGACACGGUCCAAACUCCUACGGGAGGCAGCAGUGAGGAAUAAUGGUCAAUGGGCGGAAGCCUGAACCAGCCAAGUAGCGUGCAGGAUGACGGCCCUAUGGGUUGUAAACUGCUUUUAUACAGGAAUAAAGUUAGCCACGUGUGGUUAUUUGUAGGUACUGUAUGAAUAAGGACCGGCUAAUUCCGUGCCAGCCGCCGCCGUAA
rnacentral:rRNA from 1 species